rnacentral:rRNA from 1 species
UACGAGUGCUUCGAGCGUUAUCCGGAAUCAUUGGGCGUAAAGGGUGUGUAGGCGGUUUCGUUAGUCUCAUGUUAAAUCUUUCGGCUCAACCGAGAGUCUGCAUGGGAAACGGCGAGACUAAGAGGAUGGAAGGGGUCUCUGGAACUCAUGGUGUAGCGGUGAAAUGCGUUGAUAUCAUGGGGAACACCAAAAGCGAAGGCAAGAGACUGGUCCACUCCUGACGCUGAAACACGAAAGCGUGGGUCGCGAACGGG